UACGUAGGGGGCAAGCGUUGUCCGGAAUUAUUGGGCGUAAAGAGCGUGUAGGCGGCCCGAUUAGUCCGCUGUGAAAGUCCAGGGCUCAACCCUGGAAUGCCGGUGGAUACUGUCGGGCUAGAGUCCGGAAGGGGCGAGUGGAAUUCCUGGUGUAGCGGUGAAAUGCGCAGAUAUCAGGAGGAACACCAAUGGCGAAGGCAGCUCGCUGGGACGUGACUGAUGCUGAGACGCGAAAGCGUGGGGAGCAAACAGG
rnacentral:rRNA from 1 species